UUAGAUGUGGAGAUAAGAAGGUUACCAGAGUACCACUACUUGUCUUCAAAUCUCGCUUACAUAAAGUUGAGAAGGUGCAAGUUUGAGGAAGAUCCAAUGCCAACACUUGCGGAAUUGCCUUACCUAAGUAUGCUUGAAUUACAUGAAGGGGCUUUCAUAGGAAAGGAAAUGUUUUGCUCCGGGCAAGCUUUUGCUAAACUUGAGGACAUGUUUGGUUCAGUGUAUUAGGUAAUCCAUUACUGACCAAUUACGCGGCUAUUACAUUACGCCCCUAAUCCGGCGUUUGGUUCGCUGUAAUAGGUAUUACGCGCGUAAUACAAUCCCCACCUAAUCCCCAAAUUCCCUGCUUUUCUAAUCCCUUCCCAAAUCGAGUAAUAGGUAUUACGUCCGGCUUCCCUCCCCAACUCUCUGUUUUACCCUCCCUCCCUACCCGACCCUCUCCUCUUCUGUCCUCAUAAUUUCUCCUCCCAUUUCCCACUACUUUCGUUGAUGAUUCUGUCCUCAUCGUUUCUUCUCUCAGUCUCGGCGUUUGGUUUUGGAGGUAUGAAUAAACUUUUUAAUUUCUUGAAGCAUUUUACAUGAAUCUUUUCGUAAUAAUAGUUUCAGCCAUUUUUUGAAUGACUUGGGUUUUUUCCCAGAAUUUUCCCUUUGCUUGUUUCUUCUAGUUCUAUUUCUUCGUUUUUGUUUUUGGUGCUAAAUACUCGCUUGAAUAUCGAGUUAACUCUUUUUCUUUCUGCUAGUUCUAUUUCUUCGUUUUGCUUGUUUCAUUUUUUGGUGCUAGUUCCAGAAUGUUUUGCUUGUUAUACUAAUCGAUCCCAAGGAUCGGGUGGAAGCGAGGGGAAAUAAAUUUAUGCUAAGUGAUGCAUAUUGAUGGUGUGAAUGUAGUUCACACUUGUAAAGCAAAGCAGUAAAGCCGAUAAGAUCACUGCUUGCUGAUCUGCAUGGAUUCUUUUUUACUUUGCAAAGCUUUUUUAGAUUGAAACAUAUGCUUUGCUUGCACAGUGUGAUCAAAUAAUGCAGAUGAUUGAAAAAAGUUGCACAAUUCCUAGUUUUCUUCUUUAAACAAGGAUUUGUACUUUCUGCUUCUUUUUCUUCAUAAAGAGCAAUUCUGCCUUACUUGUUAAAACAUUCAAUAAUAUUUCAAGUUUGCGCAUCUUACUUGAAUUGGUACUUUAAACAUUUGUCUAGGUAUAAGCUCCUUCAGCUUUUGAGUCAAAGCCCUCCCAACAAAAUAUGCCUACAAAAUGUUAGCUGAUAUUCGAUUAAACUGCUUAUUCAACAUACAAAAUAUGAAAUUCAUAGAAAGGGGCCGAAAUUCAGAUAGGAGUUGCACUAUUUUAAUAUCACAACUGUUAAAACCAGAAAUUAAGAAUGCAAGCAAACACAUAUCAAUACUAGCAAAACAUUCUCAAAUAAUAACAUACUAAAGCAUUAUACAAAUUAGGUUGGAAGAAAAUUCAAGAAAACAAUCUGGACCAUGGUUGUUAAUAUGCUUUUAGCCUGUAAGAUUUGAAUGACAGUUUUAGACAAAGACCAGACCAAUAGAAAUGUAUACAACCAUUGACACAUUAAGUUUUACUUAGGUUAGCAAUUUAUUUGUAUAAUUUAUUUGUAUUCACAAAAUGCUCAUUAUUACUUACAUUACAAUCUCACCUGAUAUACAUAUAUUGAGACACUCCUGAAUUACUCUAGACUCAGAUAGGCUGUAUGAACACCAUAGGCUGAAAAUAUAUGGGGUAAAUUCUAUACAACUCCUAUUUCAACCAUUCCCACAUAGCACCUUAUGAUUUUUUCUUUUCCAAUUAAAACCUUGUAGUUAAGUUUCAGUUACAUAGAGGAUUAGCAUGCCAAUUUUAUCUAAUAAAAUUAUGAAAAGAACCUUAGUGUGAAUAGAUGACUUCUGAGUUGAGGGUAUUUUUAUAAUUUAGCUGAUAAAUUUAGUGGCAUAACUCCCUGAGUUUAUAGAAUUUAAAUACAGGAUGAUAAUUGUAACCCAAAGGAAAAAAAAAGAACCACAUGGUGCCACGAGGUAAAAGUUGAAACCACAGACAUAAAUGGAAUAUAACCUUUUACUCAAAGAAUACCAGUAAAUAUUUGUAACAAUUCAAAUAAAAAAAGAGGAGCACUAGACAGCUGACUAUGCCAACCAAUUCUACUUGUAUUUUUUAAUUUUUAGUAACUACUUGUUAAAACAUUUAAGCUGACUAUGCCACCACAUUUAGCACAAGUCUCGGCUGUUCGGGAGGCUUUAUUAUGGUUAAACCCUGCCCAUAUGUGAAGGAUUUGAUUUGUGUUGAGAUCAAUUCUCAACACGUUUUCAAUGCCGUAUAUAUAUAACCUCUAAAAAUACUACUAGCUGCAUUGGUAUUCAUAGAGAUCAGCUAGUGUUUUUGACUGUAUAUAUAUAACCUCUAAAAAUACUACUAGCUGCAUACAUAUCAGACAAAAGAAAAAACCUCCAUUAAUACAAGCUCUUGUUUUUUUUUCCUAUUUCUUUCUAUCUGAUUUAUCUUGUUUCUGGUCCUUCAUGUGUUUAACAUCCUUAGCAUGUGUUGUGUUUUCGAGAUUCUUUUGAUAUUACAAUGAUUACUCUUUAACAGUUUAUUUGUUGUUUAGUUGAAUAUAUUUUGCGGAAUCACCCAUUUCCUUUGUUUUUAUCUUGUUUUCAUAAUGUUUGCUGUAAUAUUCAUUUUGAAUCAUAUAUAUUCAAAGCUGCCAAGUUGGUAUAUUUAAUAAUCUAAAGGAAUGGUUACUAAAAGAGAGGCUGCUUUGGUAAAGUAUAUGAUCAAUUUUAUAAACUGAUUAUUUUUGUAACAUCGAUUUCCCUUUAUUGGUUACAGGUUCUUUGUUCCAACACUUCUACAUCGCAGUCGUCCCCGAUUUGCUCAUUACAGGUUAGUUUUCCAUUGGUAUUCAUGGUUGCGAAGGAUUUAGGAUAGUAGGGUAUGUAGUUUUGGGUGUUUAGCUUGCUGCUUUGUUUUAUCUGUUAGGCAACAUGAUAGUGAAUUACUUUUGUUGUUCAUUGGAGAAGCUUUCACAUCUGCUUAGGUUGCCUCCAACUAUUGUUGGGGUUUCACUCCUUCCACUGAGAAAUGGGGCACCAGAUGUGUUUGCCAAUAUAGCUGCAUUUUUGGGGACAAAUACAUGUGAAGUGGGUCUUAAUAGUGUGUUGGGUGGUGCAAUUUUUGUUAGUUGUGUUGUUGCAGGGACUGUCUCCCUUUGUGUAGUAGAGAAGAGGAUCCAGAUUGAUAAACGAUGCUUUAUUAGAGAACCGGAGUAGGGGGAAGGAUGGUAGGGGAGAGGGAAAGAAUCAGAGUAGGGGAAGAGGGUUAGUAAAGCAACGAUGUGAAGGGGGAAGGGAAAUCAUAAGAGUAGGAGGAGGGAUGGUAAGGAAAAGGGAGAGGGAUGGGAAAUGGGGAUGGAAAAUGAAAAUCUGUAACGGAAUCUACUUUGAUGGGAGUUCCAGCAGAAAAGUGCAGUUGAUGGAAUCUACUUUGAAGAGAAUGAUGAGGUCUCUCUCUGAUUUUUUCAUCUCCAUGAACUUCAAUCUCUCUCUCUCUCUAUAUAUGUAUAUAAACAACAUCAUCCCUCACCAUUCCUGCUUUUAACUUGUGCAGUAUGCUCCUGUGGUUGAGAUGUUGGAUGAGCCGAGCGGUAGCGAACCCACAUCUUAGAUAGUUACAUCAUGUCUUAUUAUUUUUUGUUAAUACAUUAACGGCUGUGAGGGUAGUUUUCAACUUUGGAAAUAGCAAGUCUGUGGUAUAUCAGCCUAUAGGAUCAGAGGUAAACAACACUUGAAAUUAAUUCCAUGUAUAAAUCAAUUAUCUAAACUACAAUGAACUUCCAAUCUUGUCUCAAAAUUGUGUGACCAUGGACUGGGACAUAUGCUUAAUUUAAGCCCUGAAAUGCAGUGUUCGAUAGAUACAGCUAUUUUUUACUUGAUGUUCUUUUGUUCCAUUCUGUUUAUCCUGCUUUGGUUAGAGAACUAGACAAGGGGUGAUGCAUUUAUGAUGAACUCCUUUCUCAAAAUAAAAAAUUGUCUAAAAUUCAGUACAAUAUUCAGAAGAUAAUAGUAAUGGUUAUUGAAUUUAUGUUUAUUAAAAAUUAAUCAAUAAUUGAGUUGAAGUAAACCGGUGAAAUGCUUACAAAUAAAUAUUCUUUUAAGUUUGGAUUCAAUCUUUAAAAUUGCAUAUAAAAAUACCAAAAGAUGAGAACACCGUUAUAUAAAUAUUUAAUUAUUUUAUUAAAAUAAUUAACUCAGAAACAAAUAUUAUAUUUUUGUUCAUGUAAAUAAUUCUUAAAUUUGAAUCUAGAUAAUUAUUUUAAAUUUUAUUAAAUCAUAUAUUUUAAUUAAAAUAUAUUUAAUAUUAAUUAUUUCAAAUUAUAUUUAUAGUAUCAUAUAUUAUGAUUUUAGUAAAUUCAUAUAAGAAUAUUGAUUAUUAGAAUUUUAUUAAAUUAUAUAUUUUAAUUAAAAUAUAUUUAAUAAUUAUUAUUUUAAUUUAUAUUUUACAGUAUCAUAUAUUAUGAUUUGAGUAAAUUCAUAUAAGAAUAUUAAUUAUUAAGAAUUUUAUUAAAUUAUAUAUUUUAAUUAAAAUAUAUUUAAUAAUAAUUAUGUUUAAAUAUGAGUAAAUUAUUUAUUAUUGAUAUUAAUAAUCUUAUUAAAAUUUAAAUAAAAUAAUUUACCAAAACAAAUUUCUGCUAAUUAUUAAGAAUUUUAUUAAAUUAUAUAUUUUAAUUAAAAUAUAUUAAAUAAUAAUUAUGUUUAAAUAUGAUUAAAUUAUUUAUUUUUGAUAAUAAAUAAUCUUAUUAAAAUUUAAAUAACAAUAACAAUAAUCAUUUACCAAAACAAAUUUAUGCUAAGGGUAUUCUGGUCAUUUUAGUUUUCUCCAUUAUGCUAUUACACCUCUAUUACAUUCAACCAAACACAGUUUUACUAUUACGCCUAUAUUCCAUUACAUUCAACCAAACAGUUGAUUUGCUAUUACACAUCUAUUCCAUUACACCUCUAAUCCAAUACAGCGAACCAAACGUGCCCUGAGUCUCUAAGCCUUAAGGGGCUGAACUUUCUGGAGGAGUGGAAGGUGAGUGAAGGAGCCAUGCCUUGUCUUCGGCGAUUGGAGAUAGAGUUCUGCGGACGACUAAAAAAGAAUCCAGAUUUACUGAGGUUCAUUGCAACCUUCCAAGAACGGAAAAUUUAAAAAAUGCCAAAGACAUUCAAAGAUAAAGUGGAGGAAGGGGGAGAAGAUUUCUGCGAAGUCCGACAUGUUCCUUGUAUCAUGUUGCAAGACUGUUUCUGGUAGUGAUUAUGAUUAAUGCCAGGUAAUUCAUAAUGUUUGUUUUAGGGAAUACUUAACCCAUUUGUUUAUAUAUAAAAAUCCACAACUAUUUGGCAUGUUUAGAUUCUUUCUCAGGCAGAUAAUUAUUUAGAGAAGAUCCUAGUUUCGGUUCUUAUCCUCUGUCUCAUAUUCCCACAAGAUUUGUCAUUUGAAUUAAAAGAGCUAGAAAAUAUUUUCAAUAAGGUGUUAAGGAUGUUCGUGAUAAUCAGCAGAUGCAAUUUUUGAACUUUUAUGUCAAGAUUCUACAACUAGUUCAUAUGAUAUUGACUUUUUUUAACUCUUCCUCUUCAGGUGUAGAAGUUAUUGCCAUAUUAUUUAUCCUGCUGCUGCUCUUCAUGGGACCAAAUAUAUGAAAGAGUUGUAACAGUACUGUGUGGAAGUGUGUAGUUGGUGAUUCGAAAUUGUCUUGUAUUUUCUAUUCUAUUGUUAAAAAACAAAAUGAUUUGAGACAUCACAAAAGAUAGCAUGUAAAUGACAUAAAUAGCCCUUAGUGUUAUAAUUUAUAUAACUAUUACAAACACAUUUUGUUGUAUAAAAUCUAAGAUAAAAUUGAAACCCAAUACCAAUACCAAUACCAAAUUAUUCCUCUAAAUUGUAUAAAAGUGACUGUACAGCCCAUUUUUCCCGGCCCAGUAUACAAAUAAAACCAAAUCUACCCAAAACCCAAUUACAACCCGGGUCCCAAACCAAAAGACUAAGCCCAAAUAACCCAAGACCCAGCAAGGAGUCAAACUAGGGUUUCAGGGACUGAAACCCUAGUGCCACCGCCACUGUCCCAUCCUCUGCCACCCACCGCCUCUCCACUUGCACCGCCCAUCAAGUGCCUGCAAAAUUAAAAGAGAAGAAAUGAUAGCAAACGAAUGGAGGGGAUGUUAAAAAAAAUGGCUAUAAAAGAGCCCUUGAAACUGAUUGUAAAGCUCUGCUUUUUUUUUUUGAUAUACGAACAGCUACAAAGAAAAUACAAAAAAAGAAACAGAUAAAAAAAACAAUCUAACAUUCCAAGGUGAUUUUUUUCAUUUGUAUUUCUUUUCUUUUUAUAUUAGUUUAUUUUUUUUUAAAAGAACAGUUUAUAUUUGUGCUAAAAUUAUAAAGAGAAACAUAUAAUUUUUUUUUACCUUUUUUAAAUUUUCCGGCUACCGUGUGCGGAGAGAAAACUCCCCCUCCGUUUUCUUUUUUUCUUUCUCAAUGCCCAAAUGAUUUUUUUUUUCAAAAUAGUGGCUUUUAUACCCUUGUAAAACGACGCCGUUUUGUCCAGCAUCCUUAAGCCCCAAAACGACAUCGUUUUGAAUUGGGUCGGACCGACCCGACUCGAACCGGCUAGGAUCUGCAUGUUUUUGGACAAAGGGGUUAUUCGGGCCUUUAGUCCUUCCACUUUUGAGGCUGGUUACAAUUGGGUCUAAUCCCUUAUUUGUUUUUUUUAAAAUUUCGCCACAGAUUUUCAUUUUUUUAAUUUGGUCCAUAGACCUUGUGCACAAACCAUGCUAGAACGGCGCCGUUUAAUCAGCGUGGGAAUAUUUCCCUUUUGGUCCUUUUGUUCACACGCAUUACGAUUUAAUCCCUUUUGGUGUUUGUAUUUCUAUUCCCAAUCCUGAAAUUUAAUUUAGUUUUUAAUUUAAUCCUAUUUUCGUUAUUUAGGUUAUUUAUUAGAAAAUUAAUCACUUUUAUAUCAUUAAUAUUAUUAUAUAAUAUUAUUACUACAGCAUUAUUGUCAUUAUUAUGAUCAUACAUUUAUACAUUACACAUACACAUAUUUGCCAUGUUUUAUAACCUUAAAAUAUAUACAUACAUAUAUUCCUCUUAUUUUAUAAUUUUACACAUACUUAUAUAUAUUUUGUAAUCUAUAUACAUAUUUAGGUAUCUUUACAUACAUAUUUUAAUACGUAUACAUAUUUUAUAAUACAUAUAUACACAUUCAUCUUUUUAUUAUUUUAUAACUUACAUACAUAUCUACACAUUUAUAUACAUUUUUUAAUUUUCAUAUCUAUAUACUUUAUAUCUUAUUUAUCUAUAUAUCUUUAUAUACAUAUUUUUAAUUUUCAUAUAUAUAUAUACAUGCUUGCAUAUUCCUUAUUAUAUCUUAUACUUUAUAUACAUAUACCCUUUUGCAUUUUUAUAAUUAUAUUUACUUAUUUAUUUGUUUAUUCACGCUUUCAUUAUUAUAUUAAAAAAUGUUUCACUCUUAUCUGCUUAUAUAUUCGUUAUUCAGCAUGCUAUUGAUUCGUCUUUUUUAUUUUUGUCACUAUCGUUCGUAUUAUGUUACGCUAUCGUAUUUAUUAUUGUUUCGUAUGCAUAUCCACAAUGUAAUUUGUUUUUUGGAUUUUUUACGACAUUGUGUUUUACUUUACGCGGUAUAUCAAAAGUCAUUUUUCGUAUUUUGAUAUUCGAAAAAUCGUACCCUAACUUACGAGGUUUUGAUUUUCUCGAUAAAUCUAAAUACGCGAAUCAUUUCAAACAAAGUUUUUUUUAAAUGCUCUCGGGAAUUAACGAAAGAUCGUGUUCUAACUCACGGGACAUGAUCUUUUUCUUAAACCCGAGAUAAUCAAAUAUCUUUCAAAAUAAGUAAAUUCUUUUUUGGUAUUCAUUUUCGUAUUGAGAAUUCGAGACAUUGUGUCCAUAAGUUUGUCCUAACUUAUGGGAUAUAAUUCUCUUUCUCGAUCAAUGUAAAAUAUGCCUUCUUCUAAAAAACUUUUAACAUUUCGAUAAAGGAUCGUAUUUUAAAUCUCUUUAAAAUUUCCAAUCUUCAAUGCUAAUACACUAAUUAAUCAACCAGGUACAAAUUUUGGGUGUUAUGAGGGUGCUAAUCCUUCCUCGUACGUAACCGACUCCCGAACUUAUUUUUCUGAAUUUCGUGGAUCAAAAUCGUUAUUUUAAUAAAAUCAAAUUAUUUACUAAAGACAAUUACUUUUCGAAGUGGCCCGAUCACACAUCAUUAAAAAGAUCAGUGACGACUCCCAUAUUUGUUUUCAUUUUCAAAUCCAAGUCGACCCCGUUUUGUCAAAAAAAUGGUGUCAACAGUGACAAUCUUUGGAAAAUAAUUUAAAAAUAAAACCAGCUUUGUAAAAUAUUGACAUCAACUAUAAUUUAAUGUGUAAUUAUUAUAUACAUAAACUUUGAUUAUGUGUAAUUUUAUAUAUAUAAUUUUGAUUUGAUCUAAUUCUUGUAAAUUAUUAACACAAUUAUUAAUAUAACAUCAUUUUAUGUUUAUACAUUUCAUAUAUAAAUAAUUAUAUUUAUCCAAUAUAAAAAUAAAUUGAUUGAUUUAUUGCUUUAAAUAUGUACAAUUAAAUCAAAAUUAAAGUUUCAAGUAUACAUUUGAACCACAAUUAUAGUUUUGCAUGCAUAAUUGCACCAAUUUAAAGUUCAUGUAUAAUAUUGAGACUGAUCCCUUAUAAAGUAUGACCAAAUACGAAAAAUAUCAUUAACACAACAUGUGUAAAAAAAUAUAACAAACUAUACAUAAAAUGAUUAACUAAUGUUAAGAAAUUUAUAUUACUAACAUGAUGAACACGAAGAGAACAUAAAAUAAUUAAAAUACAUUAUAUAUAAUAAUAAUAAAACAUGGUUUUGAUAAAAAUAUACAAAUGUGUUAAAACCUACUCUAUUAUUUAAAUGUGUGAUUGAAUUAAUAUCAUAAAUUAAUUUGAUAUUAAUUUAAUUAAUGAAAUUAUUAAAAUAAUCUUAUAUAUCUUUAAAAGUUAGAGAUAAUGCAUAUUUAAUACAUGUACUUUCAUAAAAUGUUCAAAAUAAUACCUAAUACUAUAUAUAUAUAUAUAUAUAUAUAUUUGAAUCUCUAAUUCGAUUAUUAUUUUUUUAAUUAUAGCUAUUUGAUUUCAUUUUCCUGAAUAUUCUUGUUUGUGGAUCUCCUUAUCCGAUCUUAAUAGAUAAAAUAAAAUGGUUAAUGAUGAAAAAAGAAAAAAACACUAAUAAUUUAUAUUAUUAAUCUUCAUUCACUUUAAAAGUAAACCAACUAUUUUUUUAAAAUUUUAUUUAAAUUUUAUCUAACAUAUUUUCUAUAAUUUCAUAUAAUCAAAAUUGAUAAAUUUAAAAUACGUUUUAACGUGCAGGCUGAUUUAGAUUUAGUUCAAUUAUAAAUAUUGAUACAAGCAAUACAAUGAACACCCAUAUAAACUCAUUCAGCUUAAGUAGAUUCAUGGCUAUGCUUAUGCCAAAUUCAUUGGUCUAUUUUUCUUAUAUCAGUAGCCACUGUCGUCAGCAACUCACCUUUCAUCAUCGCUCAGAAGAAGGCAUUGCUCACCAGACUCAAAUCUAUACCAAAUGCAUCUAUCAACAUCUACAAUCAAGACUUCUCGAUGGCAUAUGAUGCAAGUCUCAUGGAUUAUAUAAGUUGGCUCCAAGAUACAUCUGAUGUGACUAGUGGGAGUAUUUCUAUCAUAUCCACUUGAAUUAGAGGCCUAAAACAAGGCAUAUUAUAAAUAUACAAUGAAGAGGUUUUAACCACAGAAACGACUAAAGCUUGAAAGUUUAUAAUUUAAAUAAUAAUAAUAAUAAUAAAGUACACAUGAAUUAUCAUGUUGGUUAUUAUGUCUAAAAAUUUAAUAUUUUGAUUGAUAUUUUCAUUAAGAAUAAUAAUUUAACUCUUUUUUUAAAAGGUUGGUGAUCAAAUUUAAUACUUUUGAAAAACUGAGUACUGAAGCUAGCUUAAAAAAUGAUGAUCAAAAUAUUAAAAAAUAUAAAUGUUACAGGCUAAAUUUAUCAUUGUAAAAUUUUAAUUAUUUAAAUAUCAUACAACAUACAUAUAAGUGUAACACUAUGCUAGGUUGAUAUUUCCAAAUAAUACUAAAAAACGCUACACUGUUUAUAACAUAUUUAACUGUCAUAAUUUGAAUUAAGACUGAAAUUUUAAAAUUUUAAAAAUAUAUAAAUUAAAUAUUAUCAAAUUGAAGAACAGGAAGAAUGAGUUUUAAUACCAGAAUUUGAUCUAGUACCGUUUGAUUAAAUUGACUUAAAUCUCAAAAUUUUAAAAAUAAAAGACUAAAAUAGAUUGAAUUAAAAAUAUUAAAUUUGAUAUCAGUUUAGAAAUUUUGGUGCCCUUCAAAAAACUUGAAUAUUUCUUUAAAAAAGGUUUUGUAUCUCUAUAGAAAGCUGGGAAUCCCUUCAAAGAAUUUGACUAACAAAUAUUGUUAUACCAAAAUUUAUUUUUAUUUGAAGUAGCAAUUAUUUAGAUGAAAUAUAAUGUUAUUUAAUUCCUAUCAAAAUAUAUAAGGUGAUAUAAAAUUUAUUUUAGCAUACAAAAUUUCUAAAAUAUAAUAUAUUUGAAUAAUAGAGUUCAAGUGGAGCAAGUGGUUCACGUGCAUAAGGACUUGUAGUACACGAAGAAAUGCAAAAUAUAUGCAAGUGGAGCAAGUGGUGCCUCUACAAGUGUGCAAAUUGGAAGAGAGUUCCAAGCGUUCCAAGCGGCUCACGUGAUGAAGAAAUGCAAAAUAUAUACCGUGAUUCACUCCAAGUGUUUCAAGUGCCUUGAAGAGAACCCAAAAUUCUAAACUAAUAGCUAUGCCUUCCCAUCCCAUGGUUACACUUACAAACAAGGGCAUAAAAAGGGAUUUUCAAACCCACUUUGAUCUUCUUCAAUAUUAGUGUAAAAGUUGUCGUUGCAUUACCAUAAAUAUGAAGUUCAAUUUUUAAAAAAAUGGAUUUGGAAUAAUUUGUUUUUUUUUUUUUUUGAAAGUCCUAACAAUUGGAGGAUUAAAUCCACAAAUUUCGCAAAAUAUAUGGACUAGUAGCGCAAUAUGACCUAAAUAAAAUUACUCACUCUUCCUCCAACUUGGUUUCCAGUUAGAUAAGACUGGCUGUUGCUACUUCUUUCCACACUUCACAAUAAAGUCUUUCUUUUUUCUUUUCACGCUCGCUAGAAUUGAAAUUAUAGAAAGAUUACAUUUUGAGAAAUUAAUUUUCAGAACAAUCUAUGGAUUUCUCUGCUGUGUCUUAUGCUCUCGAAACAAUCGACAAGCUAACACAAGAAGUUACAUCCUUGUGGGGCGUCGAUGAACAAGUUGGGGGCUUAGCAAGUGAGCUGAGAUGGAUGCAAAGCUUCUUGAAAGUGGCAGACGCAAGAAAAGUUGAUCAUGAGGUGAUACGUACCACCGUUGUUGAGAUCAGAGAGUUGGCCUACGAUGCUGAAGAUGUGAUCGAGACGUUUUCCAUCAAAGUUGCUUCCAAAAGGAAAGGUGGAUUUUCAAAUUGCAUCAAGAGAUCCGCUUGUUUCCUCAAGGAGGGAUGCCUGCUCCACCAGAUCAAGUCAGAGAUAGAGAAAAUCACAGCCAGAAUCAAAGUAUUGACUCGACAAUUGAAGACGUAUGAUGUAUCAAAGUUAGGUGUUGAUGGAGAAGGACCAAGUUCUUCAACUGAAAGGCGGGAGGCAAGGCGGCCUUAUCCUCAUGUUAUGGAUGAUAACAUUGUUGGAUUGGGUAAGGAUAUUGAGAAACUGGUCUCAGUUCUUGUCGAUGAGGAAAGCGAAUGCAAGGUCCUCUCCAUAUGUGGCAUGGGUGGUCUGGGGAAGACCACUCUUGCCAAGAAAAUAUAUAGUCAAAGCCAAGUUGUUGGUCAUUUCAAGCACUUGGCUUGGGUAUACGUUUCUCAAAACUGUCAAAAAAGAAAAGUAUGGGAAGACAUUUUAUCUGAUUUUAACCUCUUAAGUGAAGCUGACAAGAAGAUGAAGGUUGAAAAAUUAGCAGAGAAGUUAUCUAGUUUCUUGGAGGAAAAUAAAUGUUUGGUGGUACUCGAUGAUAUUUGGAACACCGAGUCUUGGGAUAGCUUAAAACCAGCAUUUUCAGCAAGGGAGACGAGAAGCAAGAUAUUACUCACCUCUCGGAACAAAGAAAUAGUUUCACAUGCUGACAGUAAAGGUUUCCUAUAUGAGUUGCAGUAUCUAAACUACAAACAAAGCUGGGAAUUAUUUCAAAAGAUUGCCUUUCCCCCAACAAAUUCUCCAGGUAAUAUGUUUAUUGAUUUCAUAAUUGCAAAAUUAUUCUUGUCUUAAUAUAUAUUGCAAUGUUUACUCUACAUUCUAUUUUUUUUGUUAAAAAAAUUCUAUAAAGUUAGUUGAUUUAAUAUUAUAAAUCAAUUAUAGGGAAUUAUUAAAUUAACAUUCAUUAAUAUCAAAAUCUUGAUUCAUUAAAGAAUGAUACGAGGAGCAAGAAUAACACUUGUAGUAAAAAAAAAAAAGCACCAACUUUUUGAUUAAAUAAGUAUAAUUUAAUUUAGAAUUAUUAAUUAAAAUAUUGUGCUAAUUUUAAAAUAAAAUUUUUAUUUGAAUAAAACUCUAAUUAUAAAAUAUUUUUAUAAUUUGUGUUUAUAAUUUGUUUAUAUAAAAGCUUGUAUUAUGAUUGCUGCUCAUAAUAUUUUUAAUUUAUCUACUUUCUAAUUUCUCCUACUAAAAUAAAGCCUUAAAACAUAGUACAAUAAAAACUUUCUAACUAUGUGUGUAAAAACAUUUUAUUUAUUUUUAAUAACUUUUCAAAUUGUUAAAUUGGUGAUAAUAUUGUGGUUAAUUACUAAAAUGUAAUGUUGUGGGUAACUUGCAUUGCAUCCUGCUUCACUAAUUAUUUGAAAUUGUUUAAGAUGUCAAUAUUAUGUGGUUAAUUACUAAACUGUAGUCUGAUUUUGAAGUUAUCACUGAUUUUUUUUGAAACUUUGUUUUGGUAUUAUACAGGCUAUAAAAUUGAUGCGAAAAUGAAGGAGUUGGGAGAGGAAAUGGUUAAACACUGUGCAGGGCUUCCAUUAGCCAUCAUUAUAUUGGGAGGAAUUUUGGCUACAAAGUAUCCUUCAUUAACUGAAUGGCUGAAGGUAUCUGCAAAUGUGAAAUCAUACUUGAACAACGAUAAAGGUGAAGUCCUAAGAGAUGUGUUGGCAUUAAGUUAUGAUGAUUUGCCUCCCUAUUUAAGACCAUGUUUUCUUUAUUUAAGCCACUUUCCGGAAGAUUAUGAGAUACCUGCGGAUAGAUUGAUUCAAUUAUGGGUUGCCGAAGGUAUUGUUUCAUCAAAGCAAGAAGAAGGAGAGGAAGGGCAAGUAGCGGAAGAUGUGGCUGAAGGUUAUUUGCUGGAGCUUGCAGAAAGAUGUAUGAUUCAAGUACGAGAAAGAGACAUUGCAACCUUAAAGAUAAGAAGUUUUCAGAUGCAUGAUCUAAUGAGAGAUGUUUGCUUGUCCAAGGCAAAACAACAAAAAUUCCUCUAUAUUGCAGAUCAGUCAAAUGCGUGCCAGUUAUCCACUAUUGGGAGGGUUCGCAGAGUUUCUGCUCACAAAUUUAUUCCCUUACAGUGCAUUAAAAGUCCACGUCUUCGAUCACUUUUGCUUUUCGAUGAGCUUUUACCGGACGAAGAACAGGCAAAUAUUUUUCCAUUGACAAUGCAAAGCUACUUCGAGAACCACGAUUUUGACAAUCCACUUUAUUGGUUUGUGGCACCUUUAAUGCUUAGCGUGGUAUUUACUAAAUUUAGGGGAAUUUGGAAAUAUAUGUUCAAUAAUUUUAAUUUUCUUAGAGUGUUAGAUUACGAAGGAGGAGGAGAAGCAGGAUGCAAGUUACCCAAUGACAUUGGUAAACUCAUCCAUUUAAGAUUCUUGAGACUAAGGGAUUUGGAAUUCUUGAGUUCAAAGUUGCCAUCAUCUCUAGGCAACUUAAGGUGCUUGCAAACAUUGGAUUUAAGAAUAGAAGGCGGAUGCUCAAACUCUAUUCAUGUACCUAACGUGUUAUGGAGGAUGCAGCAACUAAGGCAUUUAUAUCUCCCCGAGGAAUGUAAUCGUAAAACAAAGUUGAAGCUGGGUACAUUGAGAAACCUCCAAACACUUGUCAACUUCAACACCAAGAAUUGUUAUGUAAAGGAUCUUAUCAACAUGACAAAUAUUAGAGAGUUGGAGAUUCGAGGGCCCUUCAAUAUUGAAGAUUGUAACACGGGGGAGUUGGACAAGAAUCCACCUAUCAUCCACAGCAAAUAUCUUCAUUCCCUGUCUAUUAUUAAUGAGGAAGGAAUAAUCGAUCCAAGACAUUUGGCACACCUCCUUUUGAGUUGCGAAAACAUUUCUAAGUUGAGGUUAGAUGUAGAGAUAAGAAGGUUACCAGAGUACCACUACUUGUCUUCAAAUCUCGCUUACAUAAAGUUGAGAAGGUGCAAGCUUGAGGAAGAUCCAAUGCCAACACUUGCGGAACUGCCUUACCUAAGUAUGCUUGAAUUACAUGAAGAGGCUUUCAUAGGAAAGGAAAUGUUUUGCUCCGGGCAAGCUUUUGCUAAACUUGAGUCUCUAAGCCUUAAGGGGCUGAACUUUCUGGAGGAGUGGAAGGUGAGUGAAGAAGGAGCCAUG
rnacentral:lncRNA from 1 species